AACGUAGGACGCAAGCGUUAUCCGGAGUUACUGGGCGUAAAGGGCGGGCAGGCGGUUCGUCAAGUGGGGUGUGAAAGCUCCCAGCUUAACUGGGGAACUGCCUUUGAUACUGAAUGCCUCGUAGUAAGGUAGGGGCAUGCGGAACUGAUGGUGGAGCGGUGAAAUGUGUUGAUAUCAUCAGGAACUCCGGUGGCGAAAGCGGCAUGCUGGACCUUCACUGACGCUGAUGCGCGAAAGCUAGGGGAGCGAA
rnacentral:rRNA from 1 species